ensembl:snRNA U6 U6 spliceosomal RNA
UUGGUAAGAUUUUGGCAGCAUAUAUACAUAGUUUGGAACCAUACAGAGAAGAUUAGCAUGGCCCCUGUGCAACAAUGACAUGCAAAUUUGUGAAGUAUUCCAUAUUUUU